GAUGAACGCUAGCGGCAGGCCUAAUACAUGCAAGUCGAGGGGCAGCGGGUGUAGCAAUACAUGCCGGCGACCGGCGCACGGGUGCGUAACACGUAUGCAACCUACCUAUAACUGGAGAAUAGCCCGGAGAAAUCCGGAUUAACACUCCAUAUUAUCACGAAGAGGCAUCUCUUUGUGCUGAAAGCUCCGGCGGUUAUAGAUGGGCAUGCGUCCGANAGCUGGUUGGUGAGGUAACGGCUCACCAAGGCGACGAUCGGUAGGGGAUCUGAGAGGAUGACCCC
rnacentral:rRNA from 1 species